GGCAAAAGAAUAAAAAAAGAGACCACAAAUGAUUAUGAUCCUUGGCUUUUUCAUCAAGUUAAAAAUCUCCCAAAUGAAGACAUUUAUUUGCAGAAAACGUGUUCACGCCACCAAACCCAAGGUCACAAGGAAGAAAAUUAUAAGUCAGUCAACGCACUAUUUAUCAUAAGAUCAGAUCCUUAUCACCAAAAGAUGCGCAUUGAAUCAAGGGGGAGAAUUAAAUACUCAAAAUAUUAACAGGAGAGGAAGAAGAAGAGAAAUAAGGAACAAAUAUACUCAGGCAUUGAAGAAGAAAUCAAAUCCUAUGGCUACUGAAACAGGAGAACGAAAUUUUGUGAACUGUCUUCAUCACCAGAAUCAUCAACCAAAGAUGAUUAAUCAUGUUAGCAUUUGCUAUAAAAGUCCACAGAUUUUAAUGGUAAAGAUUUCAUUGGAACAUUAAACGUCAGGAGAAAGAGAAAUGGAGUACUUGCGGAUAUAAUGCACUUACCUCACAUCAUUCAAUAAUUUGUAUUAUAUUCUUCUAUCAAAUCCUUCAGUCUUCCCUGUAUCAAUUGACCACACUCCUUUCCAUAUAUGUUGCUUCAACAAUUGCUGCUCCUGACCAUCUGCGUGCUGUCUUCUUCUGAGUCAUAUACUGGCUCAACCUAGCUCCAAUAUUUCUUCCAUGGUACACUCCCCUCCAGCCUUGCACUUAUCAUACACUGUCAGGCCGGCUGAGAUUAUGGCUAUCAAUGCUUCCAUUUCAACACGAACAUGAGUUAGGGUGAUACUGUGACAAAUUGGGAUGAAGCUGCUUGUGUGCUUGGCUCCAUUUAUGCCAGCUAUUUCGGCCACGGUAAGGACAUCCUUGAGUGGAGCCCAAUCAAAGGCGUGAAAAGGUCAAGCCAAAACCAUUAGCACCAAAGUCACCCCAAGGGGUGCACCGGGGCACUUCCUCUUUCCAGCACUGAAGGGCAAUAUCUUGAAAUCAGCUCCAUAGCUUAUCUCUACCGGCGUCCAUCUUCCACCCAAUGCCUCUCGGGCCCAAAAACUCUCCACAUCCAUGACUUGGUGUUUCGGCCCAAACUAUGAGUAUUAAUAAAAGUGCGAGUCUUGGCGGGAUACGGUAGCCCGUAGCUAUAUAUUGUGGUGGCACGUAGGGGCUCGUCCA
rnacentral:misc_RNA from 1 species